GACGAACGCUGGCGGCGUGCUUAACACAUGCAAGUCGAACGGAAAGGCCUGCUUUCCCUUGUGGAUUGCGGGUACUCGAGUGGCGAACGGGUGAGUAACACGUGAGUGAUCUGCCCCCAACUUGGGUAUAAGCCUGGGAAACUGGGUCUAAUUCCCGAUAGUACUGCAGGGUGGUGCCUGUGGUGGAAAACGAUUUUCUAGUGGUUGGGGAUGAGCUCGCGGCCUAUCAGCUUGUUGGUGGGGUAAUGGCCUACCAAGGCGGCGACGGGUAGCCGGCCUGAGAGGGGGGACGGCCACAUUGGGACUGAGUUAAGGCCCAGACUCCUACGGGAGGCAGCAGUGGGGAAUAUUGCACAAUGGGCGGAAGCCUGAUGCAGCGACGCCGCGUGGGGGAUGACGGCCUUCGGGUUGUAAACUCCUUUCGACCGCGAGGAAGCCACCUGGUUGGAAGGGUGGUGACGGUAGUGGUAGAAGAAGCACCGGCUAACUACGUG
rnacentral:rRNA from 1 species